UGACACUCGAGAAUAAAAUACGAUCUGUGAGUUACAUCAAAAUUUUCUGUUCCUGCAAUUUCGAAGAAGCCUAUGAAAUUUGUUCAGAGUUUCUGUCGUUAGGCUGAAAGUCUUAAAUUUUGUAGUAUAAUUAAACUGUACUUUGUUUAUGCUAGUAGCGAAUUGGAAGUUUAUAAAAUUUAUGAUAGAGAUGUAUUCAUUUUUGGCAAAACUGUAGAUUUAUAUGAAAUAUAGAGCCGUAAAAUAAAUUUUGAAAGAUGGAUGAUGAUCCAAUGGAAGGCACAUCUGAACUUUUCGCUUCUGUUUUGAGUGAUGUUACUCCUGAGGAAUGGGAAAACUAUAAACAAAUGAAUAAGUAUGGAAAUUAUAUAGUUGAUUCUGCGAGCGAUGAUGACAGUUGCAUGUCUGAUAGAUCUGUUUCACCAUGUAGAGAGGAAAUGAUAGCCAAUGUUGAACUUGUUGAAGAUGAAGAAGCUGAAGUUGCUAGUGAAGCUUCAGAUGAUGAAGAAAAUGACAGUGGCCAAACAGCAUGGGGUUGUGAUGCUGCUGUUAAAUAUGUUAAUGGCGAAAUUACGUUUUCUGAAUUAAAUGAUAUUAUGGAAAAUAAAAAACCUAACCGCCACCCAAGGAAAAAAAGGCGUACAGAAAGAGAGCCAAAAGAACCAAGGCAAGAGUCCCAGAUAGAAAAAGAACAUAGAGAAUAUGAAAUGGAGCUAAAAAAUAAGAAAAAGAAAGGACGCAGGAAAAUGAGUCAUUUACCAAAAGAAUUAGAAGGUUUAAUGGGAGCCGCCCAUGUAAAGUUUGCUCAAGGGGAAACAGAAGAUGCUAUUAAAAUGUGCAUGGAGCUUAUUCGAUUGGCACCAACUGCUCAAGAACCCUUCCAGACUUUAGGUGUUAUAUAUGAUGCAACAGGGGAACCUAGGAAAUCAUUACAGUGCUAUUUGGUUGCAGCAUGCUUGGACCCUUCUGAUACCGAAGAAUGGAUACGACUAGCAGAUCUUUCACUAGAGCAAAAUAAAAUUGCUCAAGCUAUCAGCUGUUAUAGUUAUGCAAUUCGUAAUGAGCCAGAUAAUGUACCAUUUCUGUGGGAAAGAUGCAAUUUAUAUGAACGAAUAGGAGAUCGAAAAAAAGCUUUGGCUGGAUAUGAACAAAUUUUGAAGCAUUUGAGUGCCCCUGAAGCUGGACAGAAAUGUGUAGAAAUGUCAAGAGAGAUUGCAAAGGUUCAUUAUGAGAAUACUGACUACAUAAAUGCAAUUAAAGUGUUAGAAAUGGCUUUUACUAAGUUCCCUUCACUGAUUACUUCAGAAGAUGUGAAUUUUCUUCUGGAGUUACAACUGAUUCAAAAAUUUUACACAUCAGCCAUAAAGAAUUUUGUUCAACAUUGUGGUGUCAAGCUUCAGAUGCCUGACAGAGAAAUUGAUACACCUGAUGAACUAGAGACUUUCACAGAUGAUGAUUUUAAAGUUGUUUUAAACUGUUAUGUUCCAGAAGUUCUUCCUGUUGAUCUAGCUGUAAAAGUCUUGCUAUGUUUAAUACAUUUGCAGUCUCUAACUGCAGUUCAACCUCUUUUGGAAGCUCUUAUUCAAGAAAACCCAGAAGAUUUUGGAGACUUAUAUUUAGAUGUUGCAGAAGCUUUCAUGGAGAUAAAGGAAUAUGAGUUUGCAAAAACUUUACUUUCUAAGUUGUUAAAAACAGAUAACUAUAAUCUGCCAGCAGUGUGGAUGAAAUAUGCAGACUGUUUGCAUGCUUUAUCUCAUGUAGAAGAAGCCAUGAGUGCAUAUCAAAAAGUUAUUGAAAUGGCUCCCACUUAUCAGGAAGCUCGUCUUGCUUUAUCUAAUAUUCUUCUUAAAAAAGGAAAAAUAGCAGAAGCUGCAAGCAUCUUAAAACAAGAGUAUGAAGAAGGAAAGGAAGUAACAACCCUAGGUAUUGAUGCUCUAUAUCAAAGGUGUAGAUUGUUACAGGCAGAAAAAAGAUGGGAUGAAUUCAUCCAGGCUGCAGUUUUACUUCAAUACAGCCACUGUUAUCUAUUAGAAACUGAAGAAGAAUAUAGUGCUGUUAUGGCCAACCAGACAUCUAAAAGAAGAAAUGAAGCUCUAAGAGAUUUAAAAGCUCAGUCUAAGAAACCAGCACCUGAAUUCAUUGGAAGCAAAAUAUCUUUGUCUGACAUGUGGGAUAUUUUUAAAAUAGUAUCAAAUAAACUCUUGGAACAAAAGCGUUUUGAAGAACUUCAAUGUUUAUCUCUUGCAGCAUUAACAUCUACUAUGUUUAUGAAGAAUCCAGAGAUGGCAAAAGAUUGCGAAUUCCAAGCUCUAUUGAGUUGUUUCUUCAACAAUAGUCACUAUUAUGCUUACCUGUUAGUCAAAGAUCUUGUGAUUAAGAAUAUAAAUAAUCCAAAGGCUUGGAACCUGUUUUGUUUGAUCAUUACACGAAGCCAGGAAAGUAGACAUAAUCGUUUCUGUCUUCGUCUUAUGAUGAAGCAUCAAGAUCAUUUGGCUCUUGGAUUUCUAAAUGGACACAAUGCUAUGAUAUCUGGCACUUAUAAACAUGCUUUGGGUGAAUAUAUGUGCAUUCUCAAGGAACGACCAAAUGAUCCAUUUGCAACAUUUUGUGUUGGUUAUACUUUUAUACAUAUGGCUUGCCAAAAAUUUGCCACUAAGCGCCAUUUUCUUGCUCUUCAGUUCACGCAAUAACUGGUUUGUCUGUGCAUAAUCGUCUGUAAUAGUUGAAGUGCUGUCUUUUGUUGUUUUGUCUGAAUCCAACGUUUCUAUGAUGUCCACCACAAUAUCAUCUCCUAUCUGUUCACAGAAUCCCAACUGUAAUCUUCAUCGUCUGUGCUCUCAAAGCUUGGAAAGGGAUUUGUUUUCCUGUCUCAUUAUUUGAAAUUAAAAGGUGAAUGUCAAGAGGCAUAUUAUAAUAUUGGAAGAGCUCUACAUCAGUUAGGUAUGAAAGAUAUGGCUAUUCAGUAUUA
rnacentral:misc_RNA from 1 species